GUAUGGUGCAAGCGUUAUCCGGAUUUACUGGGUGUAAAGGGAGCGCAGGCGGUUCUGCAAGUCUGAUGUGAAAGCCCGGGGCUCAACCGCGGGACUGCAUUGGAAACUGCGGGACUGGAGUGUCGGAGGGGUAAGCGGAAUUCCUGGUGUAGCGGUGAAAUGCGUAGAUAUCAGGAGGAACACCGGUGGCGAAGGCGGCUUACUGGACGAUGACUGACGCUGAGGCUCGAAAGCGUGGGGAGCAAA
rnacentral:rRNA from 1 species